rnacentral:tRNA from 1 species
GGCUCCUUAGCUCAACUGAAUAGAGCACUUGACUACGGAUCAAGAGGUUACAGGUUUGAAUCCUGUAGGAGUCA